UUGAGCGAUUUACUUCGGUAAAGAGCGGCGGACGGGUGAGUAACGCGUGGGUAACCUACCCUGUACACACGGAUAACAUACCGAAAGGUAUGCUAAUACGGGAUAAUAUGUUUGAGAGGCAUCUCUUGAAUAUCAAAGGUGAGCCAGUACAGGAUGGACCCGCGUCUGAUUAGCUAGUUGGUAAGGUAACGGCUUACCAAGGCGACGAUCAGUAGCCGACC
rnacentral:rRNA from 1 species